rnacentral:lncRNA from 1 species
AACUAUUGGGUUGAUCAGCAGUAUUUUAAACAAGACAUACUGACAGAUUUCACUGUACAUUGCUAAGGAGGCGAGUACAUCAUUUCAGAUUUCGAAACAG